rnacentral:lncRNA from 1 species
CUCAACUCCUGCACGCUACGAUAUAGAAGUUGGCAACACUGCGGUUACUAGAGAAGAGGACAUCAAAAGAGUGAGAGUGAGGCGAGGUAUGUCCAGUUUAGAGGAGAUAAAACUCGCCAUCUGCUGCCAUCUGCUCUUGUUACUUGGUCUCUCUGAGGAAACCCUUCAAAAAUUGAUCCAUGGGCUUACUGCUAUUGGUGUUGAAACAAAAGCUGACCUAAACUAUGUGAAAGAAGGCGACCUCAUGGAAUACCUCAGGCCUAUCCAAUGUCGAAAACUACUAAAUGCGUGGAAAAAUGAAGGACAAGCCAGCUGCUCGACUUCCCAAAGUUCAUCACAUCAAGUUCUUUCUGAUACAUCAAGCCCAGGAUCAGAGAGGUUGAGUUCUACACCGCUCUUGCAAGUUAAAACCCGUGUUGAACAUGUAAACAGAAACAACACAUUAGCUCGUCGGAGAAAAGAACGACUACGAUCAUCGUGCAGAACCCCAAAUCAAAGCUCAAGAAGGCCGGCUGAUCAAUAUGGUUGUGUCAGUUGGCAGCAAGAGGAGCUUCCUGCAGGAGAAAAUGAUGACACUCUAGAAGAGAAGCACAAGCAAAUGGUACUGCUUCAUUCUACUGAAGGAAUGUCUGGUGCCAUUAGAGGAGCGCCACAAGAUGAUGGAGCUCACAUAUUACCGUCAACGCUGUGAUAUAAACGCCACUCCACCUCCGUCACUGUCUGAACUAAAGAACUCAUGGCUGCCUUACCUGUUUUGUCUUAAGGGUAUUUUUUUAUAUUUUCAUUUGCUUACUGGCAUCACACUGCUCCAAAGAGUCAUGGAGAGCAUUGAAGGGAAAGGGAAGAGGAUUCUAAGAUUUUUUCAAGAAAGGCCAACAAACAGUGAGGUGCAUGCUGUUCUGUCAAAGUAUCAAGAGGAAAAUUCUCUGGUCCUGUGCAUCCUGCAACUCUUAAUGGCCCAUUUUAAAGAGAGAACCGAAUCCCUUCUAAUUGAAGCUGAUGUAAGUAACAUCAUUUUGAUUU